rnacentral:rRNA from 1 species
AUUGAACGCUGGCGGCAGGCCUAACACAUGCAAGUCGAGCGAGCGGCGGACGGGUGAGUAAUGUCUGGGGACUGCCCGAUAGAGGGGGAUAACUACUGGAAACGGUGGAUAAUACCGCAUCCUAUCGGAUAACCCAUAUGGGAUUAGCUAGUAGGUGGGGGAAAGGCUCACCUAGGCGACGAUCUCUCGCUGGUCUGAGAGGAUGAACAUACAAACGGGGACGUAGACACGGCCCAGAAUCGUACGGAGGCAGCAGUGGGGAAUAUGGCAGAAUGGGCGUAAGCCUGAUGCAGCCAUGCCGCGUGUAUGAAGAGGGCCUUAGGUUUGUAAAGUACUUGCAGCGGGGAGGCGUUACCCGCAGAAGAAGCGCCGGCUAACUCCGUGCCAGCAGCCGCGGUAAUAC